CACAGUGUAGCUUAAUACAAAGCAUCUGGCCUACACCCAGAAGAAUUCACAAGGAUGAACACUAUGA
rnacentral:tRNA from 1 species